AUCACUCCGUGCUCCCGCCUGGCUCUCACAAGAGAUCGGCAGGGUGUCCUGCCUCACUGCCGAGCCCCCCGUGCCUCCACAGCCUUCACAGCCCCCGGAGCUCCGCCGGGCGCCGCUCCCCGCCCGCCGGCUCCUCCUUCCCGGCCUCGGAGCCCCGCAGCCCGCCGGGGCGGGACCGGGCUCCCUACAAAGAGCCCGCCCGACGGGGCCGGAGGCAGAGCGGCGCGGGGAGGCUCCGGGGACAGCACCGGGCACUGGGCACCGGGGACAGCACAGGCACCGAGCACCGGGGAGCCACGCUUUUCCCCGGGGAGAGGGGAAACUUCCCUGCCCCGUCCCGCCGCAGGCUCCCUGGUGCCCGCCCGCUUCCUCCUGCUCCUCCUCCUCCUCCUCCUCCUCCUCCUCCUCCGGCCGCAUCCCGCGGGGAGCAGCGGGCGAUGGGGCUGGGGGCGCCGUCCCCGGGGAGCCGUGCCCGCAGCCGGCAGCUCGCCGAGUGAAACUUUGCGGCGGGGGCGGCGCCCGGGCACCUCGCGGCGGAGCGGGCAAAGUUGUUUUUUUUUUUUUUUUUUUUUUUCCUUUCCCCCCACCCUUUUUCUGCAGCCCGGGAGCCGCCGCCCGCCCACGCCCCCCUCCCACCCCCCGGGGUGGCCGCGGCCCCGCUGCUAUGGCACCCGCCCGUCGCCGCGGGGCGGGCAGGGGGCGGCCGCCUCCGGCUGGCCCUGCGGUGGCGGCGGCGGGGGGGCGCGCAGCCCCCGGGCGCCGGGCGUCCUCCCCCGGCCGGCAGUGACCGCCCCGGCCCCGCCGCCUGCCGGCCCCCGCCCGAGUCUCGCCGAGGAUGGCGGCGGCGCCGGGGCCGGGCUCGGGGAGCUCGGGGAGCCCGGGCACCCCCUGAGCCAGCCGCCGCCUCCCCGGAGCAGCCCCGCAGUGCUCCCCGCCGUGAGACCCCGCUCCUCCCCGCAGAAAUAGACUUUGUGCCUCCCGAGCGGAGCCAGUUGGCGUGUUGGAGCUGCCUCUCUCCGUGCAGCUGCUACACCCUCUUUUGUCUGGUCUCGGCUCCCGAGGACUUUCCGCGCUGCUAUCGCCCCUCGGCCCGGCUCCGACCCCGGCCCCGCAGCUGCCUCCCGGUUUCGCCCCCCCGUGCCCCGGGAAGUUUCCCCGUUGCCUUCAUCGCCACCCAAGUUCGGGGCUCGGUCGUCUUUGUCUGAGGAAAGAUGGUGGUGUGCGGAUUGUCUGGGAGGAUGGGAGCCAGAUGGGGACGGCGAGGGGGAUGCCCUCCUCCCUCGCACGCAGACCCGGCUCGCUGCUUGAGCGGGUCUUCCCCGGGCUCCCCGGGGGCAGAAGCACGGAGCAGCCUCCCUCGGUGCUCCGCAGCCUCCCCUCCGGUGCCUCCCUGCCCUCCCCGCUGGGUCCCUGGGUCAGCGUCCGUGCCCUGUCCGGCGGGGCAGGGACCGCAGGAGGGGUACCCGAUUGUCAUUAACCACCGCCAGUCUUGUUUUACGCAGGUUAUGAUAAAGAGAACUGGCCAAAGUAUUCCUCUAAAGCAUCGUUUUGUGUAAGAUGACCUGCAAAACAUAACCUGUAGUCACGUAGCGGACCUGCAGUUUAUGGUGCUGUUAGGACGGAGGGCUUUAUUGCUCAGUGAAAUUACAGCACCAAAGGUUUUGUGUGUUCUGGCUCACCCCGUUUCUGGAUCAGUACACUGGCAACUCUCCUGUUAUUUUUCUUUAACUAGAUGGUACUUCCGAUCUAUGUGAUGGAAACCAGAGAAGUGCCCAGAUAGAAAGGAAGAGUGCAUUUUUUCCUUUUGUUAUUUCUGUACUGCUUUGUAAAAAGUAGAAAAGAAAAGCACUUUAAACAUAAAAUUUGAUUUCUGUUGAAUGUAACUUAAAUUAUUUUAAUAAAGAAAUCAAAGGGUCUUUUGAGUUUGAAACAUUUUAAUGUGCUUCUCGUGAUACCCAUAAACAUACUUCCAGCAAAAUACUUGUUAGAAGAUAAUUAUAAGACAAUUUUUAGCAAUUUGAGACAUGAGGUACAAUUAGAUUUUUGUUCUGAACACAGGAGAAAAAAAAAAAAAGCACCCUUGUGGAAAAAGAUAUAUGGUAGAUAAAUAGCAAUUUGGAAAAUAAAAUCAUAUAUAAUUCUUAUUUUGUUGGCAUAGAAACAUGUUUUAUUUGUUGCUUCUUUGCUGGAUUGCAACAAUGACCCAAAUGAAAGUUGGAAAAAGAAUAAUGAUGUGAGAGUUCAGCACACUACAAUUAUUUUAUUCCAUGUAUAGAAACAUUUUUGCCCAAUACAACCUCGCUGGAAUUGGACCAGAAUUCAUUUUUAUGGAAGCUCUGUAAUCAGAUUAUAAAAGGUGGGCUGUCCGAAUUUAAUCCUGUAAAGUACGGACUAAGCAAGCCCUGCUCUGACAAAGCACUGAAAUGUAUGCUCACCCUCCAGCAGGUAAGCAGUGCCAACUUCCAUCUGUGGUGUGAGUUCAUUGCAUAUAGCAAUAGGUGCAGUAACUUCAGUGAAACAGUUUGCUGGCUUAGCUGUGUUACUGAACCCUUGCUGGACCAAGCUGUGUUUCUCACUGUGUUCUCCUUCCAUUUCCGUGAACACUAGGCAUAAAACGCAAAAUACCUGUGCCAUACACAAGUAUUCACAUCAGCCACAUCUUGUGGGUUGUAUGUUCUUGACCGACUCAUACCUCUCUGUGAAUGAAAAGGGGAAAUGAAAAUGAGUUAAGAAGUAGAAUACAUGUAUGGAACAACAGGAGGAGACUGCUGCUUCUUGUAGCUUGUUCGGUAUAUUUUAGGAGCCAAAAAUUCAAAAUGCUGAAAAUCAGUGAAAACUCACAGCAGAAUUGUUGAAACCAGACAAAGGUAUGAUAUAAAAAGUAUGAAACCUAAGUGUUGCCAUCAAGAAGAACUUCCUAUUUUUUUUUUUUUACAGCAGUCUUGAUAGUCUAUGAUAGUAGAGAGUAUACCAUGUAGUGAAAAUAAGAGCUUGAUUUCCUAGACAGUGAUGAUGUGUGCAUUUGACAUUAUGUGCCAUAAAGCUUUGUAAACAGAUCAAUUACUUUUAGUCUAUGGGUGUUUGGUCUCCUGGUAUUGGAACAAAGGGAAAAGAGCAAAUCACUUUCCAAUGUGUAAAGACAACUAAACUAGGAAUCAUUUGUGAAAACAUGGGCAUCUUGUCCCAGUCUAAGACAUUUCAGAUGCUUGCAAUGAGGCAGGCAAACAGGGUCUAAAAGAAAGCCUUACCACUUGUACAAAGACAGCUGAAGGCUGGGUAGAAUACCCCAUUAGAUAAUGUUUAUAUUACAGUUCUACAAAGAAGCCUUUAGAAGGACUUGAAAAAACAUUGUAGUUAAGAUUUCUGAAGCUGUGAUCUGAUGGAUGUGGGAAGACGUCCCAGCUAUGACAUUGCUAUGAGGAUUUAGGGAGGUUCAUCUUAGUGCCUGUUUACCAGCAGGAUCUUUGUGUUGCUUCCUCUGCUGUCAGCUGGAUGACUGCCUUUACGUUCCUCAAAGAUUGUGAUCGAUAGCUUAAGAACUGGGAAUCUUCUUAGAAGGUUCACACACAUUUUAAAAUAAAGAGGUGUCUAUACCUUCAAAGUCCAAGAGAAAAUAAAGGAAUUUGCAGAUGAUACUUGAUGUGGUGCUUUCAUUUUAAAGUAAGAAUAGAGUAAGGAAAAGUUUCUGCUUUUCUCCCUUACUAACUAACACAUCACCCACACAAUCUUGGGGUAAUUAGGAUCUUAUUAAGUGGACUGUAGAUUGCAUGGAAAGGUGAAAUGCUGACAAUGUCAGUGAAUGACAUUUCUGGACAGAUGUUUUGCACAGCUGUUAUCCUACACACUAGUUUUACUAGCUCCUGAGUGCCUGCGUUUUGUGGAGUUUGUGAGAAUAAGCAUUGUUGUAAACUUCCCUGCUGGGAAUGCAGUCUGACCGUACAGCAAGAGGUCGUUACUCUAUUCUACCGCCAACCAUUUUCGUGUAACACAAUUCAGUACCUGCAGUGUAUCUGUAGCCCCUACCCAAGUAAGUGAAUCUUGUUGGGAGUAGAUCAGGUGGAACUGAUGGCUGAACAUAGUGCUGCAAAAUUCAGAUUAUACUGAUCUCUUAUAGUAUUAAUGCAAUUACAUUCUCCUACCAGAACUUUAUUACAGGAUCAGUAAUUUUAAACUUCCUUUUUUUAAAAAAACUUCAUGCUUUCCCUUAAAAAUCAAGAAGUUAGAAGAAAAUCUAUUUAUUUAUUUAUUUAUUUAUUUGUACAGCAAGCUAUAAAUGAGAUGGUUAUACUGUAACAAAGAGCUAUUUGUAACAUUUUAUCUGCAGCAGUGACAGAAUGUUUGUAUCCCUCAAUAUUCUUAUUUUGAUCUUUUGGUGACAGAAAUAUUACAAAGAACAUUGGGGGCUUUUUGAAAAAUUUUGAAUGGGCAGAAUACAUGAAAAGGAAGGAUGUAUUUCCUCAAAGUCUUUGUCUCUGUGUUUCCCUGUCUCAUGUUGGGAAAGGUUAUUGUACCUAAAGAAGUGUGCUAGAGAGGUGCAGAGCCACCUGAGGAUCACUGGACGCCUGAGGAUCUUCAUCAGUGAGGUGUAAUCAUCCAGCAGAGAUUUCAGGAAAGAUAGUACCAGAACAGACUUGUGGAAAAUAAAGCCAUGAAGUACCUAUUUGUGCAGUCUCCAAGAAUUGUAAUGAGGACUGUAAGACUUCCUUUCUUGUGUCCGUUUAUAUCAACAUGUCAUUAUUAUUUCUACUGGAACUGUUGUCAGUUGUUCUUUUUGUUGGACGUGUGACCAUUUUCCAUUUUAAGUAGAAACAAACUAUAUCUUUUUCUACAUUGAUUA
ensembl:lncRNA